AAUAGAUACCCUGGUAGUCCACGCCCUAAACGAUGUCGACUAGGUGUUGGGGAAGGAGACUUCCUUAGUACCGCAGCUAACGCGUGAAGUCGACCGCUUGGGGAGUACGGUCGCAAGAUUAAAACUCAAAGGAAUUGACGGGGACCCGCACAAGCGGUGGAUGAUGUGGAUUAAUUCGAUGCAACGCGAAAAACCUUACCUACCCUUGACAUGGUCGGAAGCCCGAUGAGAGUUGGGUGUGCCCGAAAGGGAGCCGACACACAGGUGCUGCAUGGCUGUCGUCAGCUCGUGUCGUGAGAUGUUGGGUUAAGUCCCGCAACGAGCGCAACCCUUGCCAUUAGUUGCCACAUUCAGUUGGGCACUCUAAUGGGACUGCCGGUGACAAACCGGAGGAAGGUGGGGAUGACGUCAAGUCCUCAUGGCCCUUAUGGGUAGGGCCUCACACGUCAUACAAUGGCGCAUACAGAGGGUUGCCAACCCGCGAGGGGGAGCCAAUCCCAGAAAGUGCGUCGUAGUCCGGAUCGGAGU
rnacentral:rRNA from 1 species